UCCCCUAGUAACUGCGAGUGAAGCGGGAAGAGCUCAAAUUUGUAAUCUGGUGGUCUUUGGCCACUCGAGUUGUAAUCUGUAGAGGUGUUGUCUGCGUCGGCCCGUGUACAAGUCUCCUGGAAUGGAGCGUCAUAGAGGGUGAGAAUCCCGUCCAUGAUAUGGACCACCGAUGCUUUGUGAGGCACCCUCGAAGAGUCGCGUUGUUUGGGAAUGCAGCGCAAAAUGGGUGGUAAAUUCCAUCUAAAGCUAAAUACUGGCGAGAGACCGAUAGCGAACAAGUACCGUGAGGGAAAGAUGAAAAGCACUUUGAAAAGAGAGUUAAACAGUACGUGAAAUUGUUGAAAGGGAAACGCUUGAAAUCAGUCGUGUCCUGGGGCACUCAACCUUGCUUCGGCUUGGUGUACUUGCCUUAGGAUGGGUCAAUAUCAAUUUUGGCCGGUGGAUAAGGAUGAGAGGAAAGUAGCGUCAUUUUGGUGACGUGUUAUAGCCUCUUGUCAAAUACAUCAGCUGAGAUUGAGAAUCGCAGCACGCCCUUGUGGUCGGAGGUUCGCCUCAUGUAACGUGCUUAGGAUGUUGACAUAAUGGUUUUAAGCGACCCGUCUUGAAACACGGACCAAGGAGUCUAACAUGCUUGCGAGUGUUUGGGUGGGAAACCCUUGUGCGUAAUGAAAGUGAAAGUUGGGAGCCUCCGUAAGGGGGUGCACCGACGCCCGGCCCUGACGUUCUCUGAUGGCGCUGCGGUAGAGCAAGCAUGUUGGGACCCGAAAGAUGGUGAACUAUGCCUGAAUAGGGCGAAGCCAGAGGAAACUCUGGUGGAGGCUCGUAGCGAUUCUGACGUGCAAAUCGAUCGUCAAAUUUGGG
rnacentral:rRNA from 1 species